UUCGGAUUGUAGUCUGCAACCCGACUACAUGAAGCUGGAAUCGCUAGUAAUCGCGGAUCAGAAUGCCGCGGUGAAUACGUUCCCGGGUCUUGUACACACCGCCCGUCACACCAUGGGAGUCGGAAAUGCCCGAAGUCUGUGACCCAACCGGAAGGAGGGAGCAGCCGAAGGCAGGUCGGAUGACUGGGGUGAAGUCGUAACAAGGUACC
rnacentral:rRNA from 1 species